GGAAGGAUCAUUAUUGAAAUAAACCUGAUGGGUUGUUGCUGGUUCUCUAGGGAGCAUGUGCACACCUUGUCAUCUUUAUAUCUCCACCUGUGCACUUUUUGUAGACCUUUCAGGUCUAUGUUGCUUCAUUUACCCCAAUGUAUGUUAAUAGAAUGUUGUGCCUAUAUAAUAUAUACAACUUUCAGCAACGGAUCUCUUGGCUCUCGCAUCGAUGAAGAACGCAGCGAAAUGCGAUAAGUAAUGUGAAUUGCAGAAUUCAGUGAAUCAUCGAAUCUUUGAACGCACCUUGCGCUCCUUGGUAUUCCGAGGAGCAUGCCUGUUUGAGUGUCAUUAAUAUAUCAACCUUCUCUUUUUUGAGUUGUUUGGAUGUGGGGGUUUGCUGGCCUCUUAAAUGAUUCAGCUCCCCUGAAAUGCAUUAGCAGAACAACCUGUUCAUUGGCGUGAUAAUUAUCUAUGCUAUUGAAUGUGAGGGCAGUUCAGCUUUCUAACCGUCCUCGGACAAUUUAUCAUUAAUGUGACCUCAAAUCAGGUAGGACUACCCGCUGAACUUAAGCAUAUCAAUAAGCGGAGGAAAAGAAACUAACAAGGAUUCCCCUAGUAACUGCGAGUGAAGCGGGAAAAGCUCAAAUUUAAAAUCUGGCGGUCUUUUGGCUGUCCGAGUUGUAAUCUAGAGAAGUGUUAUCCGCGCUGGACCGUGUACAAGUCUCCUGGAAUGGAGCAUCAUAGAGGGUGAGAAUCCCGUCUUUGACAUGGACUGCCAGGGCUUUGUGAUGCGCUCUCAAAGAGUCGAGUUGUUUGGGAAUGCAGCUCAAAAUGGGUGGUAAAUUCCAUCUAAAGCUAAAUAUUGGCGAGAGACCGAUAGCG
rnacentral:rRNA from 1 species